GGGGAUGUUUUGGUUUCGACGGAUGGAUGGUGCGGCAGGCUGCGUGCCGGGUGGUUCUCAACACGCCCGUGACACCCGUUGAGAAAUUGGAUAGUUGCCAACGACUACUCCUACGCGCUGGCGGCAUAACGUCCGCUAGCUGUCUCGGGAUGGGCUCGCUCAUCGGCGUGUCCCGAGACAUCGACUCAGAUGAGCUAGCUGUGUAGGCUCCGGCUGAGCCGAAGCAGCGAAAUCCAAUCAGCCUGCGUUGAUUCGGAAGCCCCGUCCGUGGGCUCUGCCGACUCAGCAAAGACCCUCAAUACGCGGACUACGCAUGUAGACGCCUGGACUGUACGUCUAUUCGGACCCGGGUUCGACUCCCGGCAUCUCCACUU
rnacentral:tmRNA from 1 species